CAUAAAGGGAGAUGGUUCUGUUUCUGACAAAUAUAGAUAUUUUGUCUUCUUUCUGUAAAACUGCCCCACAUGACCUUUUUAAGGGAAGUCUUUUACAUCGGGGCAUGCCCUUUUUUUCUUAAGAACUGUAUGAGGUCCUGGGAGGGAAUACAUGCAAAUGCAUGCAGUCUUAUGACUGUGAAUUAUUAUUAAUUCAUACACAUACUUAUUCCCAUACACAUGUCACUAUACAGAUGUUUAUAAUCCUUCCACGUUUUCCUACUGCUCUCUCAAAUCUCUUUUUUCUUAACGCAGAAAAUCUGUGAAGGACAGAAAGAUGGAAGAGCUGCCCCAAACCUUUAGACUGGCAGUUUAGGAUUCUUAUAUCAGAAAUCACUUAACACGUAUAACAUAAUGGUUUUCUGGUAAUAUUUUGAUCAUGGUUUUUCUAAGAUAAGCUGUAGAUUGAAUAGAAAUCAUAGCACCCUCAUUUUAUUUUAUUCAUGCCAUGUUGUUGCAAAAAACAAAGCUGACAAGUCUGAGCUGUCAAAAUAUCAGUAAUCCAAGGUUCCCAUAGCGUUUUGUUUCAUUUACUCAUUCCUAGGUCUCAAGAAAGGAGAAGGCUGUUGGGGUUAAUAGGCCUAGCACCCAGGCCUGCAUUGUGUAAAGCUGCCCACAUCUUUGAGAGCUCUUUAGUUAAGCGGUUAGGUUUGAGCUAUAAUCCUUCCAAAAACUUUGGCACUGGCAAACAAAAAAUAGCCCUUUCCUCCCUUUAAAAAAAUUGAGAGAAAAGGCAGCUGGUGACAUUAAGAAUAAUUUGUCAGAUUACAUUUAUUGUACUUGGGAAGUGAUUAUGAAAUUGGGAUUCAGUUGAGCAGAGAGUUUUUUGUGGGACAUGAUGUUGAUUUGGCUGUUGGGGAACCUUAUUCAUUUGAAUGAUGACUGUGCAAAUAAAAUUAAUAAAAAAGAAGAUAAGAUACUCUCUGUCAAGAUGGGAGGCACCAGAAACCAUAAUUGCUGCUCUUGUUCAGGAAUGCUUUAGUUGCAUGUUUCUGGAUAGCAGGGGGUUGAUGACCCUUCCAGUCCCUCCAGCUCUGAGAUUCUAUGAUUCAUACACAUGAGAUGGAGUCUGAAUCACGUAUUACAUGUCAAAGUGCUUGUUUGAAAGGUGAAAGCAACUUCGGAAGAUGAUGGUUCAAAGCAAAGGAAGAAGGUGGCAUGCAGUUUAAACCCACACAGAGAGCGUUUUUCUUUUCCUAUCAGCAGGAACAAAACAAGAGUUUUCUUCCUGAGACAAAAGUUAAGUUGGCAACUCCUACUCUUCUCGUGGUGCCAACAUAAGUUGACUGUGCAAACAAAGUAAUAUGACUUCGACAACUAAUAGAGACAUCCUACUCUUCAGAACUGGUUUAGGGGGCCCUUGGCAAGUCAUGUUACCUGUGUUCUCAAAAGAAGGCCGGUGAUUUAGGAAGUGGGUUGCUGUGAGUUUUCCAGGCUGUAUGGCCAUGUUCCAGAAGCAUUCUCUCCUGACAUUUCACCCACAUCUAUGGCAGGCAUCCUCAGAGGUUGUGAGAUCUGUUAGAAACUAGGCAAGUGAAAUGUCCAGGGUAGCAUUGACUAGCCUUGCAGCUUCAAAGCCUGGCUGCUUCCUGCCUGGGGGAAUCCUUUGUUGGGAACUGUUAGCUGGUCCUGAUUGUUUCCUGUCUGGAAUUCCCGUUUUCUGAGCGUUGUUCUUUAUUAACUGUCCUGAUUUUAUAGUUUUAUUUAAUACUGGUAGCCAGAUUUAGGAAGGAUAUCAAAGUGUAGCCACUAACACCUAGGAACAUCACUCUACCUACUAAUCCUAUCCUUUGAUUUACUGCUUUCCUUGUUUUCCAGCCACUUUGGUAGUUUCUUGUGUGUUUUUUUGUAAAAGGAUUAAAUAUUUCUUUCCAUAGUGCUUCUCCUCUGCUCUCAUUCUCCACCUCCUGAAGCCCUUUCUGGUAUUGGCUUUCAGGAGGAACAUACACACUUAGUAGAUAAUGUCCCUUUUGGUUCUGAGGGAGCCAAGGAGAGAAAAGAAAAAUAGUAUAGUUCUGAAAAACAGCUUUAUAUCCAAAAGUGGUAGAGAUGCCUGCCUAGUAACCAGAAUAUUUCUUUCUUAUUUCUCAAAACCUUUCCAAGCCUAUGCAAAUACUAGUUGCAGUAGCUCUUUCUGUGUUUGUGGUUUGUUGGGCAGCCUCUGAUGGACUUGAUUUCUUCCAAAGUUGUGAGAUACCUGACGUAUACAUUGUGACAACAAAAACCUUACUCUUGUUUCAUUUAACUGUGGUAACUGAGAUUUCUUUUUUCUGUAAAGUUCUAUUUAGUAAACACUAUCAAAUCCAUAUUCCAUUUUUUUCGGUUGCCAUGGGAAGCUACCAAACAUACACCAAACCCUGAACUGAACUAGUAAUUUAGAGAGGAAAUGACUGUGUGGGGAUUUUUUUCUGAAACCGUAUUUUUUAUAUAUGUAUGUCCAUGGCAUUUGACUUCCCCCACCUCCUGUUCUGAAAGGAAGCACUGUCUAGAUGAUUCAUAGUAUUCAAACCACGAGUAUUAUUUCCAUAGUGAUGGUGUUUAGCCUCUUUUAUUCAGUUCCUCUGCUCUUCUGAUUUUACUUGUUAUACAUUUUUUUCAAGUGCAGAAGGGCCCUUUUCUUUUCCCGAGAUAUGUCAUAGCUUUAAGAAGUAAAAAUGUUUCUACUGUUGCAGUCAGUUCUAAUGUUAUCAUUCAAUGUACAUCCACUUGUCUUGUGAAGUUCAAGCACAUGUUAUAUGCAUGUUGCCUGGAUUUUGUAUUUACAUUGGUACAACUAGCACCUUGUCUGAUGGUUCUUUUACUUCAGGAAAAAAUGUCACCAUGGACUAACUGAACACUGGUAGCAACACCGAGGCAUUAAUAAACUAGUCUACAUGCCUACUGAUGUCAGGAGGAGGACAUGCUGUAAGAAUAACAAGCUCCCCAGUAGCAGAAUCUCCGAAUUACAUGCAUCAAAAAAUUUAAGCUUUUCAAAGGUGGAAGAUGAAAGAUCAAGUGCUUUUCAAAUUUAUUUUCCUGUACCUUUUUCUUAUAUACACCCCUACCUUCUUUUUAACCAAGGUUCACAUAUUUUUUUGGAAAAAUGGAAUCUCAUUUCAGAAACAAAACAAAACCAGACAUUGUGGGUCAAGAAAAUAAUUUCGCCUUUGAGGAAUAGUGCUUUCAAGUUCCCUUGACUACACUGCUAUAGCAAACAACUAUUUGAUUUGGUAAAGAAAAUGUGUUUGAAAUAUUAGAAAUCUGUGUUGCUAGAAUCUUUCUGGUUGUGCUUCAAACACAAAGCUUGUCAUUGUUAGUAAAGCUGAUUUGUCAGAUGUGCAUAUGUAUGUGGAUUCAACCCGUUUUGAAAUGUUAGCCUGGAGAAAGAAGACAGCUCCUGGAACAAAGCCAAGAUAUUUUCUCCUGCCUUGAGAAUCAAGAGAAACUUGAGUAGAAGUUGAAAGAAAAUGACACCAGCAAGUCUAGGAUUAUCCGAAGGAAAGACAUUCAUUAUAGGGUGAGCAGACAAAGGAAGAUUUAAAGUCUCUCUGUCUUUAUCUGCACCAAUCUGUGUGAAUACAAGCAUCUUAAACUGAGUUGCAUCUCUUGCACCUCCAACAGACAUGUGGAAAUAACCUACACAUAAGAGUACUUAUUAAAAUCCAACCAGUUCUCCAAAUUCUUUUAAUGUCUCAUUUUAAAGUUUUAUACUCUCCAAAUGAUUCUCCUGUACACUCACUAGAUGAUCUGAGAAUGUUCUUAAUUCAAGUGUUUGUUUGUUUGUUUUUAAAUGUUUAACUCUCCUUAUCUUAUUGUUCUGUUCAGAACCUCAAGGUCCAAAAUAAGCAAAGGAGGAGAGAGGAGACAUCCUUGCCUUGCACCUUUUUGUAUAUCAUGUGGAUUUGUUAACUCGCCAUUACCAUUUGUGCAAUCCCAUGAAUUUCAUGAGAUUUUCUUAAGCAAGGAAUACUCAAGAGAUUGGGGUUUUUUUCCCAAUUAUUUCCUCUGAAAUAGUCCACAGCACCUAGGAUUCAUAGGCGGUCUCCCAUCCAAGUACUAACCAGGCUUACCCUGCUUAGCUUCCAAUAUUAAAUAGGAUCUUGUACUUUAAGGGUAUUUAGUUAUAUUGGACAUACAGUGCAUAUAAAGGUGUAAGGGCCUUGCUGAGAACUGUAAUUUUCUAGUUAAGAGAAUGUUUGUUCCUGUGUAGAUUAAAAAUAAAAUGAAAAUAUAGCUAGAUGUUCAAGCCUCUGUUAUGCUGAAAGACUGCACCAAUCUCUUGUUUAUAAAGUUUCCUUCAAGCACAUAGAAUGAGGUACUGCUAGUCGUAAUUUUAACUUGAGUUACUGAUUUCCUUUCUGCAAUUUUCUUAGAAGUGUGUGACCACUGAUGCCAGCUUAAGAUAUUGAUUUGACAACUUUUUUCUUUUCUCUUUGCAUAAAUGCAUGACACAAAAUAUUUUUAAAAAUGGAAAACAGUACUAGGGGUAAUUUCCAGUAGUUACUAAAAAGGAGGCCACUAUUCUGCAAACAACCACCCACUCUGAUCUUGUGCUGUAACAAAUGUAAUGGUCUUAAUCGCUCUUGUUGGCUCGUUUUUGAUGUAUGGCUUUAAUUGCAUUUCCAAGUGGGAGUAGACUGUGGCAAGCACCAAAGCCAUAAGCUUAACAAGAGGAUGGGUUUAGUGCCUUCAGCUGUUGCAGGAGCAGAUGUGUCUUGUCUCCCUCUUUUAAUCAAACAAAAAUUCACCUACUCCAGUUUUAAAAUACCAUGCAGUUUUCUCAGUUUUGCUCACUGACAAGAACCAGUUUCAAUACAACUGAUGUAAAAGGAAAGCAAAAAACAGCAGUAAAAACAUGGGUAGUUGAGUGGGCAAUAAGACAAAUGUCCUCUUGGCUUAAUAACUUUAUUAAGCCAAAUAAAAAGGGGCAGAACUGUGUGAAAGUUUUUGACAUUUCCAGAUAUUCAUGUCAAACGACAUUUGUGUAUGUUGUUUUUGUCUUUCUUUUUUGUUCUUUUUAAGUUGCUAUGUUGUUGUCUGAUAGUAGUAGAUAGUAUGUGGUUGUGCAGUUUUUAAUUUUAUGUAUGAGUAUCUUGCUUGUGUGCAUUUCACCUAAAAGAAGAAAAACCAGAGAGUCAAUUAGAGGUGGUGGCUUGAAUGUUGAAUUAGGACUCCAUGAGACCCGGAUUCAAAUCUUUUGCUUGGUUGUGAAAACUCAUUUGGUAACCUUGGGACAAGCCACACUCUCUCAGCCUUAAGGGAAUGCAAUAUAAAUCCUGUCCUGAACAAAUCUCAACAAGAAACCCAUUUGUUAGGAUCACCUUAGAGCUUCUAUUACUUAGAAAUAACCUGUACACGUGAAAAACCAACAAAAAUCAGGGGAUUGCAUGCAAAACUUGUAUGUUAUUGUAUGCUAUGCUGAGAAUUUUUGUUACACAGAAGGAGUAUUCAAUAAAUUAGAAAUAAAAUGAA